UUUUGAAGAAUGUUUUGAAUUGUUGUAUGCGUUUUCCCGUCCAAUUCAAUAACUUAAGGAAAACUUGAAGAUUAAAAAAGUGCUGUUCACGGUUAAUCUGGAGUAUUGAAAUUCACAACUUAUUGAAAGAACAACUGAAAAUUAAUUUAGGUUGCAUAUGUGUCAUGUGUGGAGAAGAACCCUCUAGCUAGUCUGUCAUUUAUCAUUUUACCUUAAUUUUAUGUUUUUGUCAAUUCUGUAAUUUAAUUAAGUUUAAUUUACUUUU
rnacentral:lncRNA from 1 species